rnacentral:rRNA from 1 species
ACCAACAGCUGUAUCACCCUGAAGCUCACAGCUAACAGCCCCGCUGAAGCUCAGCAGGUGUGAGCCUGGCCAGUACCUGGAUGGGAAACUCCUGGGAAAACUAAGGUUGCUGCUGGAA